UACGGAGGGUGCAAGCGUUGUCCGGAAUUAUUGGGCGUAAAGCGCGCGCAGGCGGUCCUUUAAGUCUGAUGUGAAAGCCCACGGCUCAACCGUGGAGGGUCAUUGGAAACUGGGGGACUUGAGUACAGAAGAGAAGAGUGGAAUUCCACGUGUAGCGGUGAAAUGCGUAGAGAUGUGGAGGAACACCAGUGGCGAAGGCGACUCUGUGGUCUGUAACUGACGCUGAGGCGCGAAAGCGUGGGGAGCGAACAGG
rnacentral:rRNA from 1 species